UACGUAGGGUGCAAGCGUUAAUCGGAAUUACUGGGCGUAAAGUGUGCGCAGGCGGUUGUGUAAGACAGAUGUGAAAUCCCCGGGCUCAACCUGGGAACUGCAUUUGUGACUGCACAGCUGGAGUGCGGCAGAGGGGGAUGGAAUUCCGCGUGUAGCAGUGAAAUGCGUAGAUAUGCGGAGGAACACCGAUGGCGAAGGCAAUCCCCUGGGCCUGCACUGACGCUCAUGCACGAAAGCGUGGGGAGCAAACAGG
rnacentral:rRNA from 1 species